rnacentral:rRNA from 1 species
GAGGAAUGUAUAGCAAUAGCUACUUGCAUCAUUGUAGAUAUGAUGCAAGAUCGACUAUGUUGAAUAAAAUUCUAGGUAGAAUUAUGAUAAUGACAUUGUCUGCCUAUGUGUCUUGACCAAAUUACGUGCCAGCAGUCGCGGUAAUACGUAGAAGACUAGUGUUAUUCAUGUUUAAUCGGUUUAAAGGGUACCUAGACGGUAGAUCAAGCUUUCUAAUAAAGGAAAAGGACUAAUUUACUAGAGUUACUUAUGAGGGGGUAUUAAAGUACUGCUGGUGUAGAGAUGAAAUUCUGUCAUACCUCUUUUCAAAAGAAAAACCAUGGCACAGGUAUAGGCGAAGGCAUCCCCUUAUGUGAUAACUGACGUUGAGGGACGAAGGCUUUGUGUAGCGAACAGGAUUAGAUACCCCAGUAGUCGAAGCAGAAAAUGAUGAAUGUCAUAGAUUAGAUAUAUAAGUUUAUUCUAUAAAUGAAAGUGUAAGCAUUCCACCUCAUGAGUAAUUUGGCAACAUUGGAACUGAAAUCAUUAGACCGUUUCUGAAACCAGUAGUGAAGUAUGUUGUUUAAUUUGAUGAUCCGCAAAAAACCUUACCACAAUUUGAAUAUUUAUAUUGUUUAUUGUUUUAUUAUUAAUUUUCUUGAACGUAAACAUCNCGUAAAAAAAAAGAGAGAUUAAUAGUAAGAAAAUUAAUAAAGAGGCAAUAAGAUAUAUUUACAAGCGUUGCACGGCUGUCUUCAGUUAAUGUCGCGAGACUUUGGUUAGUUCCAUUAAAUUAACGUAAACCCUUACUUUAUUUUUAUAUAGAGUAGUUCCCCGCUAUAUUGGAUAUGAU